rnacentral:rRNA from 1 species
CAAGUCGAACGGGCAUCUUCGGAUGCUAGUGGCAGACGGGUGAGUAACACGUGGGAACGUACCUUUCGGUUCGGAAUAAUACAGGGAAACUUGUACUAAUACCGGAUACGCCCUUCGGGGGAAAGAUUUAUCGCCGAUUGAUCGGCCCGCGUCUGAUUAGCUAGUUGGUGAGGUAAUGGCUCACCAAGGCGACGAUCAGUAGCUGGUCUGAGAGGAUGAUCAGCCACACUGGGACUGAGACACGGCCCAGACUCCUACGGGAGGCAGCAGUGGGGAAUAUUGGACAAUGGGCGCAAGCCUGAUCCAGCCAUGCCGCGUGUGUGAUGAAGGCCUUAGGGUUGUAAAGCACUUUUGUCCGGGAAGAUAAUGACUGUACCGGA